CCCACUCAUUUUAGCCCAUUUCUCCAUCAUUUCCCAUUUUAUUUUCAGAGCAUUUCGAGAGAGAGAGUGAAGGAAGAGGGAGAAGAAGUUGCUGCAGGUUGGAGGUUGAAGAAGGGAGGAAAAGCUCAUGCAAGUGCAACCAUGGAAGAAUUUGGGUUCAACCUACCUAUCUCUGGUUUUUAAGUCGGUUUGAGCUACACAAGAAGAACUAAGAGGUUAUAUUCCGUUGUUGACAUUGAGUGUACUCCGUGACAACGAUGCUAUCGUGAGUGCUAGGCGGGCCCCACUACAUCGUAGAGCUAGUAAAUGUUGAUUGUACUGGACGUGCCCUACACAACGUUGAUUUGUCAUGUAGAGAUUGAGCUUCCGGUGCCUGAUAACUGCCAAAGUCUGUUUUCUCCUAAAAGCUUCCAGAUCAAGCUUCAUACGUGGGUGGAGUUGUACAUUGUGUCUGUUUAUAUUGUAAAUGUCUUUGUAAGAACUGGAUAGUUUACGGUUGUGUAAGCACUAGAUGUCGUGGUUGUGUAAACCCAGUUGGAUAUGUUUUUGGUU